rnacentral:rRNA from 1 species
GACGAACGCUGGCGGCGUGCUUAACACAUGCAAGUCGAACGGAAAGGCCCUGCUUUUGUGGGGUGCUCGAGUGGCGAACGGGUGAGUAACACGUGAGUAACCUGCCCUUGACUUUGGGAUAACUUCAGGAAACUGGGGCUAAUACCGGAUAGGAUCUCCUGCUGCAUGGUGGGGGUUGGAAAGUUUCGGCGGUUGGGGAUGGACUCGCGGCUUAUCAGCUUGUUGGUGGGGUAGUGGCUUACCAAGGCUUUGACGGGUAGCCGGCCUGAGAGGGUGACCGGCCACAUUGGGACUGAGAUACGGCCCAGACUCCUACGGGAGGCAGCAGGGGGGAAUAUUGCACAAUGGGCGGAAGCCUGAUGCAGCAACGCCGCGUGCGGGAUGACGGCCUUCGGGUUGUAAACCGCUUUAGCCUGUGACGAAGCGUGAGUGACGGUAACGGGUAAAGAAGCACCGGCUAACUACGUG